UAACUCUGGACCUGUGUUGGUUCCCCGCGUCCGCUGCGGCAAGGGGAUCAAAAGGGAACACGGUGCGACGUACCCAUCAGGGCGCAAAACCGUGGCUGCCCCCGCAACUGUAAGCGGUGGGCCUCCUCAAUCAGCCACUGAUCCAUCGGGUCGGGAAGGCGAGGGGGCUGCCAUCACCGCGAGCCAGGAGACCUGCCGGCACAUGAACCGAGCU
rnacentral:ncRNA from 2 species